AAGAGCAGGAAUUACAUAGGGAAACUCGUGUUGACUGUCAAAAUGUUUACGACAAGAAGGUUUCUUUUGCCAUGUGACAUCUGUAGAUCUUUACAAAAAACGCAUCGCUUGAUAGUGUCUAGUUCUCUUAAUCAUGCUUCUUCAUCAUACAAACAAAAGAAUAGGAGAAAGACCCGUGUAAAACAGCAUGACACUUUUAAGUUCUCUUCUGUAAAUCCAGCGAUUGUUGAAUUAGGUAAUAAUCAAUAUCUCUUGAACAAACCAGGUAAUACAGGAACUUUUAAUGUUGAUUUCCUCUCAGAGAUAAAUGAAAAGAUCAAAGAGAUAACCAAAGAUGUAGAUUUUAACAUAAACCGGAAACCUCGUACUUUCGAGAAAGAUCAGAACAAAUCGGACGAUUCCUCAAUCAGCUCUAAGCCAAAGGUUAAUUACGGUACACCAGACAAAUCUAUAGCAAUCAGUGAAGUUCCCUGCGGUGGUUGUGGCGCCUUACUGCACUGUCAGGACCACACUGUGCCUGGUUAUAUUCCGAGUGAGGUAUUCAAGGAGAUGACAAAAGAGGAACUGAGGGACUCAAAGUGUCAAAAGUGCCACAAAAUGCAAUAUCAUAAAACCUUGAUUGACAUUCGUGCAACGGAUGAUAGAGCGCAUGAAAUUAUGAAGGAGAUUCAAGAAAAUCGGAGAUGCAUGGUGAUGCUUAUAGUUGAUUUGUUGGAUAUAGAGAACAGUAUUCCAGACUUAUUUCAUGAAUUGAUACCGUCUAGGAAGCCCAUCUUUGUGAUCGGGAAUAAGGUUGAUAUUAUUCCGCAGGACCAUCCCGAUUAUCUUGACUCUGUGCACCAGACGCUUGUUGACGCUUGCAUUAAUUGUGGGCUGGAACAACAUAACGUUAAACAUGUGACCUUGAUAAGUGCCAAAACUGGAUUCGGUGUCGAGACUCUGAUAUCAAAACUUCUACAAGAUUGGGGCAUGUCAGGUGAUGUGUACAUGAUCGGUACGGCUAACAGUGGGAAGUCGACUCUCUAUAACUCGCUGCUCAACUCAGACUACUGUAAUCAUCACGUCAGGGACAUCGUUCCUCAGGCCACCGUGUCUGAGCUACCAGGUACAACAAUGAACACUCUCAAGUUCCCAAUAAUGAACGCCAAAACAAACUGGUUGAUGAAGAUGCGACAGGACAGACUCCGGCUUACAAAAGCAAAGGAAAUGGUGAAGCGGAUAAAAGUAAUAGAGGAAACCAAAAAAUCUAAGAAGCUGAUGGCGUCGUCAAUCCUGACCACUCUCCGAGAGAAAGUGGAGAAGACAGAUUUUGCUGAGGAUGAGGAUAGAAGGACUCAGUAUUCAGGUUUCGAUCUUACGGCAUACGAUUAUAGGCAAGACAAAGUCCUGACUAACGAUGGCAAGGAAUUCAUCGCUGAAAAACAGGCGACGUACGAUGAACAACAAUUCAAAAACUCUCGAUUUUUGUAUGACACACCUGGUCUUCUGUGUGACUCCCAGAUCUAUAUGGACCUUUUACCAGAGGAACUGAAGCUGAUUUCUCCAGCCAAGAAGAUUGUUCCUCACUGUGUUCUACUGAAACAGGACUACACAGUGUUUGUGACAGGACUAGGCAGACUGGACUAUGUAGAGGGUAACCAGGAUGUGAUGCUGGUGAUCUACAUCAGUUCUAAGCUGCCGGUCCACAUCGUCCCGAGACCCGAGGCCGAGGAGUUCUACAGCUGUAACAUUGGGACUGAAGUUCUAGGGCUUCCUCUUGGUGAUGAAUCCAGGCUAGCCAAGCUUCCACCCCUGAAGGGAAGAAACAUCCGGAUCCGCCCGGAGGAUCAGACAUACAACACAGCGGCAGCAGACAUUCAACUUUCAUCUCUAGGAUGGGUGUCGGUGGUUGGGAUGUCGCGCUCGGCUGAACUAGACGUCACCCUCAGAGUCUACACCCCUGGGGCAUGUGGGAUUUAUAUCCGACCAGCCAUGCUAAAAAAUGCCCACGUUUUCCACUUAAAGAGAGUCAAGAACACUCUAAAGUAUAAACGCAAUAAACCAAAGCUCCUGCUUAUGAAAGGAGAGCAGUUCUGAAGCUGAUGGAGUAUAAAUGAUACAGCUGAAGCUGAUGGAGUGUAUAUGAUAGUGCUGGUAGAUAACCUGACAGUUCGUGCAAUCAUGCAGUGUUGCUCGUUGUUAUUGAUUUCAUCUUUCUUAAAUUAUAUUUACAUAUUAAAGAUAAAGCUUUCAAUCUUACUCUGAUGUAUGUAUGUGAACAUUAGGUAAGACUAUAUAUUUUUGAAUAUAUAUUUUGAAUCUUUUGGCCUUAAAAUAUAUUCAAUGGUCAGUUACCCGAGAUUUACCCGAGUCACAUUUGGCCACACAUGUACAAUGUCUGUGAUUGUCAUGUACAAAGGAACACACCUGAAUAAAAAAUUGAUAAUG
rnacentral:misc_RNA from 1 species